rnacentral:rRNA from 1 species
GCUAGAAAAUUGGGCAAUGGGGGAAACCCUGACCCAGUGACGCCGCGUGCAGGAAGAAGCCCUUCGGGGUGUAAACUGCUGUCGUGCGGGGCGAAGGGUCCAUAGGCGAAUAGCUUAUGGGCUUGACGGUACCGCAGGAGGAAGCCCAGGCUAACCUCGUGCCAGCAGCCGCGGUAAUACGGGGUGGGCGAGCGUUGCCCGGAAUUACUGGGUUUAAAGGGGGUGUAGGCGGUCCGGAGAGUCAGGUGUGUAAUCCAACCGCUCAACGGUUGGGCUGCACCUGAUACUUCCGGGCUAGAGGGCGGUAGAGGAGAGCGGAACUCCCGGUGUAGCGGUGAAAUGCGUAGAUAUCGGGAGGAACGCCGGUGGCGAAGGCGGCUCUCUGGGCCGUUCCUGACGCUG